UAUCUGCUGCCUUCAGCGAGUUCGGGAAAUAAGCAUCCUUUCUAAUGUUAGCUUCUAAGGUUGGAGAGGAUUUAAGAAAUAAGAUUGUGUACAAAACUGAACUCGCUUGUCUGAAGAAGGCUGCACAAAGCUUCUACACUCCUUCCGAGCACCUAAUAAGAUUUGCUUGGGCUCUAGAAAGGUCUGAGCACUUAACUCAUCUUGAGGGUAACCAACGGAUAGAAAAUUAUUUUUAAUUUGGGUUCACUCAGUACACAUUUUUUUUUUAACGCCCUGGAGAAUUUACAUAUUGAAUUCUAAAAUAUAUAAAAGAAAUUCAACUCUUUGCAGCUAACAACACUGGCUCCUACUGAAAAGUAUAAGUAGAAACUGCCUGAUCAGUUUUGGUGAAAGAGAGAAUUGUUUAUAAUUAGCAAUUACUUUUUUAGCAUCCAAAUAGCUGUCUGUUUGCUCUCCUUAGAUAAAUUCACAUCACUCACCAUCUUAUUUUAAUUUAAGAAAAAUUUCUUUCCAUUACAGAUAUAAUAUAAACUCCUAUUAAAAAUUUGGAAACUAAAAAUAAAGAGAAGGGGAAGAAUUUCUCCAUAGUCUCACCUGCAAAUACAUUGCGAUGUAUUUUCUUCCUUUUAAGCCUUUCUGUCAUUGAAGGCUGGGCUUUGAAAUCUGUUGCCCAAGGAUGGAAAGGUCAGUAGUGAAGAUGGUUCUAGGGUUCAGAAAGAGGGAGAUGCGUGGUAGAGAUGCCGUUGGCAGAAACACGUUCUGCCAUUUGGGCCUUGACUGAACUGAAAGGACCAAACAGGAGUCACCCACCCCAGGAGCAGUGGGCACCGGCGGAGGCUGAUGUUCACCCACAGGCUUGGGCAGCUCCUCCCACCACCUCUGCACACUGGCUUCCUCCCUCCCUGAAGGAGGCUGCUGCAUUUCACCUCCCUAGGGAGGUUCUCCCUGGUCACCUACACCCCUCCCACCUUCUGCUCUCCCUCCCUCUCCCCCUCUCUUCCCCUUCCUCUGUAGCAUUUACCCCACCUGAUGUAGGAUAAGAGGACCGUUUCUGUGGUCUCACAGGAGUUUCUUAGACUGGAUUUUCUAGAAUGCAUGGAGACCCACUUCUUGGUCUUUGUCACUCUAAAUGGGAAAUACAUUAAAAAGCUGGUGUUUUCCUGUUCCUACCAAGGCACUUUCUUAGAGCCACACCCCUCCUGGGGUUCAAUGCCCUGGUCUCCUCUCCCCCUUCCCUGUUUCUCUGUACUGUUCAAAAAGUACCUUUCACAACAGCAGUCUGUCUUUUUCAUCCCUGCAUGGGAGCCCUGACGGCCUUAAAAAGCAGCAGUCACAGUUUUGAGUUACCACUUUUCUGCUUGGCCUGGGACUCAUAUUUCUGUUUGAUCUUGACUUUGUGAGUCAAGGUGGUAGUGAAAGAACGCAAGCCUUCCACCUGAGAAGAGGGUGGCAAGAUUUGGAAGACCUACCUGAUUGUCCUUGUUGGUACUGGGAAUUUUUGUUUCAGGGGCCUUCCUGUGAAUUUUAGUAGGGUGCUGGGCGAGGCUGUUCCAGGGUUUUCAUCCAGAUUCGCCAUUUAAAAUUGGGCUUCUAUUUAUACCUUUGAUUUAUUGGAAAACUCUUCAUAAGGAAUAUAAAGGGGAACUAUGGGCCACUCAAUUCAUCUUCCAAAGGGUAAGCUAGAGCCCAUGGUUCUCAGUUAUGUCUAUACUAUAAAAUAUUUAAAAGAGUGCUUCCAAAUGCACAGAAAUAUUUUUUAGUAAUUUGUAUUGGCCACAUUCACUGUUCUGAUAUGGCAAAUAUUAGUGAAUUUUUAUUGUUUUAAAGAAAUCUACAUGAUUAACUAAGAGAUUUGACUAUGGAUUACACAUGGCUCACCUCCCUUUUUAAAUGCAAAGAACUGAAGACUAAUAGGAAAAUUAUAUCAGAACCCAUAGAAAUAAGUAAAUAUAUUCAAACAGCUCUUGGGCAGUUUAUUGAUACUGAAAUGUUUUCUUCCCUUGAAAACAUGUGAAAUUUCCCUUUUAUCUUCCUUGAAGUAUAUCAGAAUAAACUAGUGACUAUAUAAUUAAAAUUCAGGUAUUUUGUUACAUUUUGACAAUAGGCUUCAACUUCUUCUCCUCUGAAUUUAUAUUUCAGAAUACUUAUUUGCAGCUUGUUGGUAAUGCAUUUGGUUGCAGCCUGAGACAUUUCCAGGUCGAAAGCCAGGUUCACAUUUUUGCUUUGAGGAGACAGAAAUUCCAAACAAAUACAGAUGGUCAGGCCAUAAACUAAAUUAAAAUUUCUGCUUUCCUGGAUGUUACAUUAAAUAUGGCCACCAUGCCAAGAGAAAUACAUGAAAAAUCCAUUUGCAUCACAUCCUGCUGCUUCCACAUGGUAUAAAAUAACAGAAUGCUAAGAAGUGUGUGUUUGUGUAAAUGCGUGCAAGAGCAUGUGUGUGUCAAUCCAGUUCCCUCUGUUGGCUUGACUACCAUACAUGUUUUGACUAAUAAAAGAUGUAUUUUAAUUAAAAUCUGGGAUUGACCAGAUGUAUAUCCAUAAACUUUUCAUACAUAUGUAUAUAAUACUUGAACACCAUAUUAAAUACUUUUGGAAGUAC